rnacentral:lncRNA from 1 species
CUCUUCUCAGGGCUCCUCAUCUUGGCCUACCCCUUCCUGAAGGCUCGGUUCAACCUGGACCACAUCCUGCCUACCAUAGGGAGCCUAAGAAUCCAUCCCCAUCCAGGGGCAGACCACGGGGAAGGAAGAUCCAGCACCAAUGGCAACAAGGAAGGAGCCCGCAGCAGCCUGUCCACCGUGAGCAGGACCCUGGAGAAGCUGAAGCCGGGGACCCGGGGGGCUGAGGAAUGCUGAGGCAAAGUCUGAGCGGCUGCCCAUGCCCUGCCCUCCCAUCCUGCCUGCUGCCCCUAUGUCAGUGCCCUCCUGGGUUAGGAGACCCGGACCGGAGACAAGCCAGGCCCUGCAGACCCCAGAGCGGCUGGGAACAGUGUCUGGAAUGGGGCCUUUUGCACUCGCCCGGCCAAGCCUCUCCAAAAUGGAUUCCACUGGUGUGGGCUGGGACCUGGAGCAAGGUGUCGCCGGACGCCCCCACAGGGUUCCCAUGUUUCAGGCUCCUGCCCUGGCCUUUCUUUCUGGACUGCAGCUCAGCUUUGUUGCCUGUUCAAUCUACUGAUUUGUUUCUCUGGAAUUUGGGGUCCAAGGCCCUGACUAUGACCAGGAUGCCCCAGUCCCUUGCUCUAACCCGGCUACAGAAGUGAACCACAGGCCCACAAGAACCACAGACAGGGACCCUCCACCCCCACGGUCUAGCCCAGGGGCUCUAGAGCUCACUAGCCCAAUAGAGGGGCUAGACAAGAUUCUUUUCCAAAUAUCAAAACUCCUGGCAGUUCCUCAGGGACAGGCUCUGAGCAGCAGUGAAUCAGAUGGGGGAAUUUGGGGGGCUCACAAAGGGACAGGUACAAACAACUUCGCCUGGGGGUCAGAGGAGGCAACUUCUCAGCUGAGCCCAGGCCUGAGACCCUUGGUGUCUUAACUCCACCACUCAAGGCUUUUUGUGAUCUGACUUCUCUCUUCCUCCCAUCUUCUCACUGCUCCCUGAACAAGCAAAACACAUUCCUGUCUCCAAGCUUUGCCCUGUGUUCUCCAGCACCCUCCCUGCUUCUGUCUGCCUAUCAAACACCCCACUUUUAAAGUCCCCGUUCAAAAAAUCUCCUACCCACGUGGUUUCCUCAUUCUCUUCCACCAACCUCUGUCUUGCCACCUUUCAGGCAGGGCUGAAGUCUUCCUUUUCACAAAACAAUUAUUAAACCAUCUUAAGUCUACUGAACGUUGCCCCUGCUCUAGUGUCUAGCACCAGACCAGUAGGUGCUUAAUAAAUGUUAAUGGAUUCAAUUUAAUGUAAAAACAAUUCCCUAGGCUUUCCCUGGGAAGCCACUUCAAAGUCCCAUCUACCGUGGGUAGAGCAAGGAGGCCCAGGUGUGGCCUCACAGAAAACAUUGUUCCUCCCUCCACACCUGCACCCUCCAGGCAGAGUUGUUUGACCUCUACAGAGAUACCCUCUCCAUACGGCCUCUGGCCUGGUUUAGUGAGCAGAAGACAAGCUAGAAAUCACGUCCUUCUUCCAGGAUCAAUGGAGACGGCACUUCCUCUUAGAAGCCUCCCCUGACUUCACUGUGCUUCCCAGCCCCAGGGUUUCCCUCCUUCACAGACCAAUCUGAGUGGCCUUUGUCUAUUUCCCCUCUUGAGAGUGGGAGCAGAGGGCCAGGCACCCAGACGACACCCCAGUGGAUGUUGGAAAAACCAAAGUUUUCUGAAGCACAGAGUCCAUCUCAGAUGGGAAAGCUGAGGCCCCACUGGAAAAAGGACUCAUCGAGUCCCAUGGUGAAAGAUCACGGGGCCAGGCCUGCAGCCAGGUCUCCUAUCUCUCCCUAUCCAAGGCUCUAUCUUCUGCUGUCCUCUGCACAAGUGGCAGGGAUCAGUUCUCUGACAACAGUGCGACAGACCUCCAUGAAGGGGCUGCCUUCCACAAAUGCUGGCUAGGUGUAGAGACUUCGUUUCCUUCAGCUGAGAGAAGCAACUUCCUCUCUUUGAACUGCCCUCCUCUCCACCCAGCUGCUGCCUAUUCCCUGCCCCUUCUCCUUUCCUUCAUUAUCAUCAACAAUAUCUCAGGCUGCUGGUCCCUCCUCAAUCAAUGAGGAGACCCUUCCUCCUAUCCAUCUUCGAUCCUCACCUCAGUGCCCCAGAGAUGCCCCAGGGUGGAGGGGGUGGGAAUGGGGGAUGUGGAGACUGAGCUGUGGAGAGUGUGGUUCCCUCCCCCCUGCCCAUCAACCCCUCUCAGCCAUGCUCUCCCCAGGGUGGGGCUAUGGAAUCCCCGAUGCCUGGCAGGGCCAGGCAGAGAGAGAUGCUGGGGACCAGGUGGAAUAAAUCAAGGAAUGAAAGC